rnacentral:lncRNA from 13 species
UAAUAUGUGGUUGUUCCUCUCGGGAGCAGUAGUAUAUAAUGAUGUAUUAUAAUACUAUAUAACAGUAAUAUGUGGUUGUUCCUCUCAGGAGUUCUUCUUUGAUCCUGAGGUGCUGACAGAGGGACAGCUGGCUCCUAACGACCGCUGCUGCAGGAUAUGUGGCAAGAUCGGACACUUCAUGAAAGACUGCCCCAUGCGCAGGAAGUCUAGGCAGCGUCGUGAACAGGAGGACCGAGCGGAGGGAAGGAGGGACUGGGCGGAGGGGGGCAGGGAACAUCGUCAGGGUGAAUACUGGAGAAGACAGGAAGAGAAACGGUGCUGCUUCCUGUGUGGAAGCCACGCCCACAUCAAGAAAGACUGCCCCCAGUACAGAGGACCAGCUGGGGCCUUCUCUUCAUCUCCCUCUACGAGCCACAUGAGGAAUUUGAGAGAGAGAAAAACAGGCAGUCUAGCCAGCAGACACAUGGGUCUGUCUGGUCCCAGAAGGAGCCCAGUGGACUGAGGAGAUGGGGAGAGAGAGAGAGAGAUGGGGAGAGAGAGAGAGGCAGCUCUAGCCCCAAACCUCUGGGUUCUACUCUCCUCCCUCUGAGGUCUGACCUCCAGUCCACCAGCCUGAACCUAGAACAUCCGGAACUCAGAACCCUACCCGUUGGAACCCUGACAUGGAACCCCAGUGGAUGGUGGCAGAGCCUGAGUGCCUGUCUUCCAAAUGGCACCCUAAUCCCUAUAUAGUGCACUACUUAUGACCAGGGCUUUACGUUUGACCAGCGCCCUGGUCAUAAGUAGUGCACUAUAAAGGGAUUAGGGUGCCAUUUGGGACAUAGAGAGGGUAUUUUAUGUUUUAACUACCCCUCCUGCCUCAGAGGAACUUUUUAAAUCGUUGUAUUGUGUUUUAACUGAAAAGCCAUUUUGCAUGCUCCUCCUCCUCCUCUAAGUUGAUUUUUAUUUUUUAAUGUUAUUUUAAAAGUGAUUAUUUGUUAGGUUUGUCUCGUGCAAUGAUGUCCUCCCAAAACACCCCCCC